GAUGAACGCUGGCGGCGUGCCUAAUACAUGCAAGUCGAGCGAACAGACGAGGAGCUUGCUCCUCUGACGUUAGCGGCGGACGGGUGAGUAACACGUGGAUAACCUACCUAUAAGACUGGGAUAACCUCGGGAAACCGGAGCUAAUACCGGAUAAUAUAUUGAACCGCAUGGUUCAAUAGUGAAAGGCGGUUUUGCUGUCACUUAUAGAUGGAUCCGCGCCGCAUUAGCUAGUUGGUAAGGUAACGGCUUACCAAGGCAACGAUGCGUAGCCGACCUGAGAGGGUGAUCGGCCACACUGGAACUGAGACACGGUCCUGACUCCUACGGGAGGCAGCAGUAGGGAAUCUUCCGCAAUGGGCGAAAGCCUGACGGAGCAACGCCGCGUGAGUGAUGAAGGUCUUCGGAUCGUAAAACUCUGUUAUUAGGGAAGAACAAAUGUGUAAGUAACUAUGCACGUCUUGACGGUACCUAAUCAGAAAGCCACGGCUAACUACGUG
rnacentral:rRNA from 1 species